GUCGGGUUAGCUUAAUUGGUAAAGCAGUAAUCUUGUAAAUUACUUUAUGCGGGUUCAAGUCCCGCACCCGGCC
rfam:Smittium culicis strain GSMNP scaffold-9575, whole genome shotgun sequence.